AGUGAGAUGGCUGAGGAUAGGCGGUAGAUUGUAAGUUUAUUAACAAGUUGAAUGACUUUCUCAUUA
rnacentral:tRNA from 1 species